CUGUCAAUCUGUCAUAACCGGCUAGGGAAACGAGGACUCACUGCCCAACAUGAUGGAGGAAGGAGGAAGCAAGAAAGAAGUCGAUGUUCUUCCUGGGAUCAGCUUUAUACUUCCAGGGAUGAUUUUCCUUCUGCAGCAGUUCCUUCCUUUUUUAUAUAAUGGAUUUCGCUGGUUCUGUACAUUAGGAUACGGUGGUCUUGGACGUCAAUGUAGGCUUUGGUUUCCUUUUUAUUUGAUGUCAGCAAUGAAGAAAUCUGGGAAAAAAGAUGGAUG